UGGGGAAUAUUGCACAAUGGGCGCAAGCCUGAUGCAGCGACGCCGCGUGAGGGAUGGAGGCCUUCGGGUUGUAAACCUCUUUCGCCAGUGAAGCAGGCCAUCUUCUUUGUGGGGUGGUUGACGGUAGCUGGAUAAGAAGCGCCGGCUAACUACGUGCCAGCAGCCGCGGUAAUACGUAGGGCGCGAGCGUUGUCCGGAAUUAUUGGGCGUAAAGAGCUCGUAGGCGGCUGGUCGCGUCUGUCGUGAAAUCCCCUGGAUUAACUGGGGGCUUGCGGUGGGUACGGGCCGGCUUGAGUGCGGUAGGGGAGACUGGAAUUCCUGGUGUAGCGGUGGAAUGCGCAGAUAUCAGGAGGAACACCGGUGGCGAAGGCGGGUCUCUGGGCCGUUACUGACGCUGAGGAGCGAAAGCGUGGGGAGCGAACAGG
rnacentral:rRNA from 1 species